UUCUGUUUUGGUCUAGUGUCGGAAGUCGAGAGUGCUACGCCGAGAGUCGGGAGUACCGGGUCGAGAGUCGAGACUACACUUGAUCUGAGUACCAAAUUACAGUGGGCUGAUGAGUCAAGCGACAACGUUUGACAAGAUUCACCAAAACCUUGUUGGUGUUCAGUUUCCUGAUGAUGUUAUCAAGAUAAACAGGCCAUCUAGAUUACCAAACUGUCUUCCCUACAGGCAACUUCAAUGUAACAAUGGCAUUUAUAAAUAUUGUCACAUGGAACAAUUUAUGUCUGUCAUCUCUUUCUACUUCUAUUAGGCAUCGAAAAAGACGUUCGAAAACUCCUCACAUGCGUUCCUGCUAGAUGACAAUCUAAGACGGAAAAUAGAGCGGCGUACAGUUACCAUAGAUACAGCGAAGGGAAAAUAGAUAGUCUUUACCAAACGAAUGGAGAUUCUGUACCGUAUCCCCAAAUCCAUCAAUGCUAUUCAAGUGAAAACAGAAAAAAUAAGUA